AUCUAAUCGCCUUUUUGCACACAUUAUUGGCUUCCUUAUAUCUUUUAUAGGAUGCAUCUGAUUUGUCCGAUUUAAAUGCCCUUUUCUUAUUUUGAACCUCUUGUAUUACUUCUCUACUAAGCCACAUUGGUUUCAAUUUGUUUCUUUUAUAUUUAUUACCCAAUGGUACAUACUUAGAAAUGUACCUUUCUAAUAUUUGUUGGAAGAUGUUCC